AGUGAACGCUGGCGGUAGGCCUAACACAUGCAAGUCGAACGGCAGCACAGUAAGAGCUUGCUCUUACGGGUGGCGAGUGGCGGACGGGUGAGGGAUACAUCGGAAUCUACUUUUUCGUGGGGGAUAACGUAGGGAAACUUACGCUAAUACCGCAUACGAGCUACGGGUGAAAGCAGGGGAUCUUCGGACCUUGCGCGAUUGAAUGAGCCGAUGUCGGAUUAGCUAGUUGGCGGGGUAAAGGCCCACCAAGGCGACGAUCCGUAGCUGGUCUGACAGGGUGAUCAGCCAACCUGGAACUUGGACAAGGUCCAGACUCCUACGGGAGGCAACAGUGGGGAAUAUUGGACAAUGGGCGGAAGCCUGAUCCAGCCAUACCGCGUGGGUGAAGAAGGCCUUCGGGUUGUAAAGCCCUUUUGUUGAGAAAGAAAAGCAGCAGGUUAAUACCCCGCUGUUCUGACGGUACCCAAAGAAUAAGCACCGGCUAACUUCGUG
rnacentral:rRNA from 1 species